UUUCCUUUCCUUUCUCUCUCUCUCACUCUGCUGCCUCACCGCCGCCACCAAUGUCGAGCUUCGUUCGGCGUCUCAGGGGCAUCCCGUGGCGGAGCAUCGCGGGGGACGCCCUCUCCCGCGUGUUCCUGGUGGCGAAGGCGUACUGCGCCGUCCACGUCGUCGACCAGCACCUCUGCUCGCUCGCCUUCGGGCGGGGGCCAAGCAUGCUGCCGGCCAUGAACCUGGAGGGCGACGUGGUGGCGGUGGACAGGGUCAGCGUGAGGCUCGGCCGGGUCGCGCCGGGGGACGUCGUGCUGAUGGUCUCCCCCGAGGACCCGCGCAAGUCGAUCGCCAAGCGCGUCGUCGGGAUGCAGGGGGACUCCGUCACCUACCUCGUCGAUCCCGGCAACAGCGACGCCUCCAAAACCGUCGUGGUACCACAAGGUCAUGUUUGGGUGCAGGGCGAUAAUCCUUAUGCUUCUAGGGAUUCAAGGCAAUUUGGAGCUGUGCCUUAUGGUCUCAUUACAGGGAAGAUCUUUUGCCGGGUUUGGCCACUGGAGGGCUUUGGUCCAAUUGAUUCAAACCAGUCUUAACAGAGAUGGACCCAUAUUAUUGCUCCUUCCCAUAGAUUUAAUAACCAAGUAACCAACUGCAGGGCCCCGUGAGCUUGAAAGCUUUUGAUCUACUAUAGCACAUUGCUACAGCAAAGCAGAGUAUAUCUUGACAUCCCAUGUUUUGAGUUUUAGUUGGAUUUUGUAGAGAAUGGAGCCUGAAUUCCUGAUUGACUCGUGUACGUCGAGGAAUGCAGUUCACUACGGAAUGCCUCAAACUCGAGUCUCAGUCUCCAAUUUUGUACAGUAGCUUCCUAAUUUAAGUGCAUGCUCAACUUGUCUACAUAAAGCGUUGACAACGAAAUGUCAAUUGCAACUAGAGUCGCCGAGAUGCCUCUGGUGAUGCAGGUGCGGUCCGGGAGGAACCGCGGGAGGAGGCUCCCUGAUGAAGGUGAGGUCACACCUGAUACGGCAGCGGUCUCUCGAUCUGGCACGAUCGAGCACGAUGAACCUGUGAGCCUUCACUUCAUGGGUGGCGGCUGCCCUCCUUGUCUUCGCUGCACGGGUAGCACUCGAUGUACCAGCCUGUUUGCUUUUUUAAAAGCCGACUGAAAAUAUUGUUUGCUGAUUUGUUGUGAGUACUGAAUGACUGAUAGAUUCGUCGGUUGGUGUACCUGUUGAUCAUCAGCACGAGCUAAAGUUGAGCAUGCAGCCCGCGGGCCAAAGGCACGGCCCAAAGCACGGUCAUUUGGCCCGGCCCGAGCACGGCACGGCCCGAUCCUAACUGGGCCCGGGCCGGCCCGAAGCACGUUGCGGGCCGUGCUUGGGCCGACCCCUCGGCCCGCUGCACGGCACGGCACGGCACGCUUUUAACAACAGGCACGGUGUCGGCACGGUAUAAUGAAAUUUGUGAAACUUGAAGUAUCAGGUUCUAUGACUUGUGAAACUUGUGACUUUUGGCAAGUAAAAUAUGAUCUGAGAGUAUAUUGUGUUAUGUGAAUUGUGAAGUAUUAAUGUAUGUGACUUGAAUGUAAUGUAUUUAUGCUUUGUUAAA